rnacentral:rRNA from 1 species
UGGGGAAUAUUGCGCAAUGGGGGAAACCCUGACGCAGCGACGCCGCGUGCGGGAUGAAGGCCUUCGGGUUGUAAACCGCUUUUGAUUGGGAGCAAGCUUUCGGGUGAGUGUACCUUUCGAAUAAGCGCCGGCUAACUACGUGCCAGCAGCCGCGGUAAUACGUAGGGCGCAAGCGUUGUCCGGAUUUAUUGGGCGUAAAGCGAGCGCAGGCGGUUAGAUAAGUCUGAAGUUAAAGGCAGUGGCUCAACCAUUGUAGGCUUUGGAAACUGUUUAACUUGAGUGCAGAAGGGGAGAGUGGAAUUCCAUGUGUAGCGGUGAAAUGCGUAGAUAUAUGGAGGAACACCGGUGGCGAAAGCGGCUCUCUGGUCUGUAACUGACGCUGAGGCUCGAAAGCGUGGGGAGCGAACAGG